rnacentral:rRNA from 1 species
AUUGAACGCUGGCGGCAGGCUUAACACAUGCAAGUCGAGCGAGCGGCGGACGGGGGAGUAAUGUCUGGGAAACUGCCUGAUGGAGGGGGAUAACUACUGGAAACGGUAGCUAAUACCGCAUACCAUCAUAUGUGCCCAGAUGGUAUUAGCUAGUGGGGGGGGUAAUGGCUCACCUAGGCGACGAUCCCUAGCUGGCCUGCGAGGAUGACCAGCCACAAUGGGCCUGAGACACGGCCCAGACUCCUCCGGGAGGCAGCGGUGGGGAAUAUUGCGCAAUGGGGGCAACCCUGACGAAGCCAUGCCGCGUGAAUGAAGAAGGCCUUCGGGUUGUAAAGUUCUUUCGGUAGCGAGGCGUUAACUACAGAAGAAGCACCGGCUAACUCCGUGCCAGCAGCCGCGGUAAUUC